CUCUCUGUCUCGGCUUUUUGGCUAAAAUCAAGUGUAGUAUCUGUUCUUAUCAGUUUUUCCUCUAAUUUUGUUUCUUUCCUCUUACUAAUU
ensembl:snRNA U2 U2 spliceosomal RNA